UACGAAUGACUGCCAGACGGGAUGUGACCGCCGACAUCCCAAUCUGUGAAAUCCCGACAGGGGCGAGACUUCUUUAUCCAUCGUGAUUUCUAAAACCCUGCACACCAAUCCACUAUUUAAUAGCUCCAAGGUCUCAGGGGCCUUUUCAGAACUGGAGAAAAGUUCAGUUAUGUGAUGAAGGACUGGUUUUGCCAAUUAAAUUCAGUAUAAAUAAUUUGAAUUGGCCAUGGACCACUAAACUACGGCACCACUGCAAGGCCACUCUUACCCCCUCUUUUCCUGAGGCACCCCAGAGAUUCACAACACUUCCAGUGAUCCUGCACUGCUACCUCUUGCAUACACUCAUCAGCUGGAGCCGAAUGACACCCCUCUCGUCUCAACCUCCGCUCAGUGAGAACCGGGAUCAGUUUCCUACUAUAUGUAAUAAGGAGACUUAUUUAGCUAUGUUUACAUUCGUCACCGGAAGUGACAUUACGCUACUUGAGGGAAGGACACUGACUAGUUCUUAAGAAUAAACGUCACCGGAAGUGAUGCGACACCACUCGAUAAACAUAAAAUUCUAAUUAUGACUGGACCUUAAGUUUGGACUCAGUAUGCCUCGUUUAGGAUAUCAUCAUGAGAGAUCUUACAUUUGUUGUACAGAAGGUCGAAAAAGAGGACUGAGUUCGGGACAUUGGAAGAUUCCGCAACCGUAAGUGCACGGCGGUUGCCAUGACAACGUGGGAAUCCGGAAAUGCAGCGUGCAGCGAAGGACCAAGAUACUUGGUUAGAUAAUCAACUGUAUAGGGUCCAGCUGCUUUAGCUGCAAAACGAUUGGUUGAGAACCAUUUAACAGAUUUCUUCAGCAGCACACUAAGUCACUUUGCACCUUGAUAAAGACCUCUGUAAGAGGGCGAACUGACCAUUCCAGUACAGCAUGGCACAGGGGAUUCCCGGGUUUCCCUGCACCAUUUAAACCGGCAAGCUGGCUUUGAACUGUGCUUACAGUUCUACACAUCUGGUAAUUCCCCACUACCCCCCAUACAGUCUCCUUCUUAUGCUGCUAUUACAAAUGCUGCUACCAUAUCUGUUGUUAUGUACUUAAUGCUGGAUGGUUUUUAGUGUUUCAUUAUUGUGUUUUAUAUGUGCCCCAUUAAAACUGUACUUUACCAUAUGCACAUUUUCUCUCUCUCUCGUAUAUGGCAUCCAUAUGAGUUUCCAAAUAACUCCGGUAUUGCUUGAAUUGUGAACUUACUGUGGAGCGCAGGAUAAGUCCCCUUCAUUAUUUUUCUCAAUGCAUGGUUCUGAACUCUCCUAAUAUAUUUGUCUCCCCAAAUAUGUGUCAUUUCUUCACCUUUUGAGAGAAUUUAUUAAUAAAGACAACUUCAAGCAAAAUAUAUUUAAAAAAUAAAUAUCUAUUUUUAUUUUAAGUAAAA